rnacentral:rRNA from 1 species
CCUACGGGAGGCUGCAGUGAGGAAUAUUGGUCAAUGGGCGCGAGCCUGAACCAGCCAAGUCGCGUGAGGGAGGACGGCCCUACGGGUUGUAAACCUCUUUUGCCGGGGAGCAACGGGCGCCACGCGUGGCGCCACUGAGAGUACCCGGAGAAAAAGCACCGGCUAACCCCGUGCCAGCAGCCGCGGUAAUAGGGAGGCUGCGAGCGUUACCCGGAUUUAUUGGGUUUAAAGGGUGCGUAGGCGGAUCGUUAAGUCAGGGGUAAAAUUGGGGGGCUCAACCCCUUCCCGCCAUUGAAACUGGCGCUCUUGAGUGGAAGAGAAGUAUGCGGAAUGCGUGGUGUAGCGGUGAAAUGCAUAGAUAUCACGCAGAACCCCGAUUGCGAAGGCAGCAUGCCGGCUUCCGACUGACGCUGAAGCACGAAAGCGUGGGGAUCGAACAGGAUUAGAUACCCCUGUAGUC